rnacentral:rRNA from 1 species
AACGUAGGAGGCAAGCGUUAUCCGAAUUUACUGGGCGUAAAGCGUGUGCAGGCGGUUCGGUAAGUUGGAUGUGAAAUCUCCUGGCUCAACUGGGAGAGGUCGUUCAAGACUGUCGGACUAGAGGGCGGUAGAGGGAGGUGGAAUUCCCGGUGUAGUGGUGAAAUGCGUAGAUAUCGGGAGGAACACCUGUGGCGAAAGCGGCCUCCUGGACCGUACCUGACGCUCAGACACGAAAGCUAGGGGAGCGAACGGG